rnacentral:sRNA from 1 species
AGGGUAGAAAAGAUGGAGCUAGAAAGGCUUAAGAGUGGUAACAUUUGGAAAUAGUGCCUUAAGGAAAGAGAACUGACAAGUCAUGGCAUUCCAGAUCCUAGUAAGGUUGGAAUCCAUAAAUUAUAGUGGUUCCAAUUUACUCUUAUGUAAUUUUCAUAGCAGUACUGCAGAGUUAAAUUGGUAAGAGUUGAGAAUAUGCAGAACAAAAAGAUUCAAAGGUUUUCCGAAAUUCUCUGUAUGCACCAGAUUAUUCAUCUCGUUUAGAUAUUGUAAGAGCAAAUUCAAAGUCACCUCUUCAGAGAUCACUGUCAGCUAAGUGUGUAUCUGGAACAGGACAGGUAUCCACUUGUCGACUAAGAAAGGAUCAACAAGCAGAAGAUGAUGAGGAUGAAGAGUUAGAUGUUACAGAAGAAGAAAAUUUUCUUAAGUAAACUACACAUUUCCAUGUUCAUCAUAAAUGACAUGAAAUCC